UAUGCACACAUGCACACACACAUGCAUACCUAUAUAUGUCUACAUUACGUUUUGUACUUGUAUCAGAUCUUUGGUAACUCUUUCUUGGUUUUUGUAAUUUCUAAGCAUUAUCCAGUGACCUUGGAUUAACAGUUAAAUAUGAUAUUUAAGGUCUAUAUUUCAUUAUAUCUCUGGGUUUCUCAGAUAAGAAUCACAACAGAGGGCCAAAUUGUUAGGCUUCCCUUGGGGAAUUAGUGAGGCAGUGGCAAGGAACAAAUGAAGGGAGCAAAAUUCAUUUAAUUCUAGUCUUAUUGUUCACCGGGAGUACCUUGAUAAAACCCAGAUAUCGAUGGGAAGAUUUGCACCUCAAACUUGCGUAGACACAUAAUUUCUCUACCCUUCCCUAAACUCCCUAGGUGUUCCAAUCCCUGGAAGCUUCCCAGCAAAAGUCUUAGUGAGUUGGGGUGUACAUCCAUAAUCCAUUCCUGGGAUUAGUGAGAGAGGAACUGGAUGGACACCUGGAAUAGAGACGAAAAGGAAUAUUAUGUGGCAAGAACAGGCUUCAAGCAGAGAGAUGAAGAAACAGAAGCACAGAAAGGUUGAGUGAUUUUCCUAAUAUCACACAGCCAGAAAAUGGAGCUAGAACUUGAACUCAGCAGUCUGGCCUUAGAAUCUCUGCAGUUAAACACUAUAUUCUUCAUAUUAAGGGUGAAAGUACCAAGAACUACAUAAUGAAUAGUAAAAAAGAAUAUGGUGGAGGAUUAUGGUGUGUCGUGCUUCAGGAGACUAAAUCUCAGCGUCAACUCCUAUGGAUGUAAGGUGGAUAAUAGAGAGAGGAGGCCAUCAGAAACAGCUUGUUAAAUGAGGUGUUUAGUAGAGUUGGAAAAGAACACAACCAUGACUGGUAAUAGGAGCUUGGAAAUUACAUAGGUCACCCAGUUUGGGGUACUCUGCUGUGGCAGCCCUAGAAGACCAACACAGGAAGUCACAUACCAAGUCCAGAGUCAGUAUGGGACUGACCAAGAGCAUGGAUACAGGCAAGCAUGAGCAAACUGGGGACCAAUUCUGCAAUAAUACACCCCAGAGAGUAAAGAGGAGGAGCCCAGGUCCCCUUAGUCACAGAAGUUAACGGGAACAGGAGCAAAAGCUUGAAACUAACUGAGCGAUAGUCACUGGAGUCAGCCGGACAGAUAUCAAAAUGUCAACUUGAUAAUGGUUAAAGCUAAAAGACAAAUCUGGAUCUACAUCUGCCUCCAACCCAGCAUUGAACUUUCCCCAUCCCCAGCAGGAGGUGCUGGGUACUGUAGCAGCAGCCCCACCCCCUCCCCGAGGGACAGCCUGCCCUCCAUGCCAUACUUAACUACACGGUGCAGGGCUGGGCAGCACACAUGCUCUUGGAAAAUAGGAAGCUGAGCUGCAAAGCCCAAAGGACUUCUUUCUCACAGACCUGCCAAUCAGGUAAGCCACACUGACUCCUCCGGGUGGAAAGCCAGGAGGGUUACUUUGAUGAGAGGUUCCCUCUCCUGUUAGCAGCUGUGUAUUGAAAUCACCCCACUGCUGUAUUGGCUCCAGAUUUCAGGGAUCCUAAAGUACUGGGACUAUAUUCAACCCUCAUUUUUAUCCCCAAUACCUGGCAUUAGUUCUAACCUAUAAGCAGCACUCAGGAACUGAAUUCUUGUUGAAUGAGUGACUGAUUCCAUUCUAAGAUCUAAAGAGACAAAGAAUGAAGUGCAAAGAGUUAGUGGCCUAAGGUGAAAAGCUUAGACUUUGGAACUGGGCCAAAGUGGGGUAAAGUUUCAGUUCUAGCAUUUAGGAGCUGUGCGGUCCUGGCAAUUCUUGAACUGUUCUUAAAAAUUAGGGGGCGCCUGGGUGCUCAGUGAUUGAGCGUCUGACUCUUGAUAUCAGCUCAGGUCGUGAUCUCGCGGUCCUGGGAUGGAGCUCUAUGGUAGUCUCUGCACUGAGCAUGGAGCCUGCUUGGGUUUCUCUCUCUCCCUCUCUCUCUGCCCCUCCCCUGCUCAUGUGCUCAUGCUGUUUCUUUGUUUCUCUCAAAAUAAGUGGAUAAACAUUACAAAAAAAUAGUACCCACUGUUAUGAAAAUAAAACGUGAUUAAAAACAACAACAAUGAAAUGUUGGCAGAGAGUUGUCACUUGUUUGUUUCUCUCUCACUCUUUGGUUUGUUUUGUCAGGCACCUUGUAGCUAAACCUCUUUUAUCUUCAGGCUAAGUCCCCUAAGAGGUGGAAUCAAGGGCUUCUUCCCACUGCGGAAGUUGCCGGAAGGGCAGAUAUUCCUGCAUUCCACUCCCUGGAUGGGAGGGCAAGAGUCUAUGGCCUAAGCCUGAGUAACCAGAUGCUUCUGCCUGAGACUGCCAAUGAAAAAAGAUGUAGGGAGAGCUAGAGAUUAUUCCUGAUGACAGCAGCAUGGUCUACCAUCCCAUGUUGCCACAGCGAGAUCAGUGGUGAUCAAGUAGUGAGAUCUCAUAAUGAAUUCUAGUCACUCUUUUAGUGGCACGGCUUUGUGUUUCUUAGUGUUGGAGAUGUCAUCAAAAAGAAGGGAAUGGGGGGCCGUGGGUGAGUCAGUCGGUUAAAUAUCUGACUUCAGCUCAGGUCAUGGUCCCAUGAUUUGUGAGUUUGAGCCCCAUGUGGGGCUCUCCGCCCUCAGCACAGUGCCUUCUUCAGAUGCUCUAUCUCCCUCUUUCUCUGUCCCUUCCUACCCACCUCUCUCUCUGUCAAAAAUAAAUAAACAUUGGGGCGCCUGGGUGGCUCAGUCAGUUGAGCGUCCAACUUUGGCUCAGGUCAUGAUCUCACCGUCUGUGGGUUCGAGCCCCGCGUCGGGCUCUGUGCUGACAGCUCAGAGCCUGGAGCCUGUUUCAGAUUCUGUGUCUCCCUCUUUUUCUGACCCUCCCCUGUUCAUGCUCUCUCUCUGUCUCAAAAAUAAAUGAAUGUUAAAAAAAUUUUUUUAAAUAAAUAAAUAAAUAAAUAAACAAACAUAAAAAAAAUACAAAAAUUUUUUAAAAAUGGAGUGCCUGCCCAUUGACCUGUGAGCUGGACCCAGGUACUUGGAGGCUCCUUACCCCCUCCCUUGUCCUUGGAAUGUGGAUUCUGCUGCCCCAAGAGCACAGCCUUGAGAUAGUGAUAUGGUGCUGAGAACACCUGCACAGUAGACCUGACUGAACCUAGUGAAGGCCUCUAUAAACUUUUAGAUCUGGUAGACAGGUGUAGGGAUCCAUUUGUCUUGCUGCCUCCCAAGAGAAGCCUCAUAUGUUAGUCCUGUUUGCUUAUUAAAACUGCCACCUGCCAGCCUGGAGUGGCCAGCCUCUUUCAUCAGUCUCUCCCUGUCCUCUGGGUUCAGGAAGCUCCAGGAAGUGUUCGAAACCAACGCUUAGCUACUGCUCCAUUCCCUGACCUCAUUGUCUCCCCUCCUUGCUCCCUGAAUUUUUGUGGGUGCGUGUCACUCAAAGUAUUUUAAUAAACUCCUUUUCAGCUGAAGUUGGCUAGAAUUAUGAAUUAAGUAUGUCAUUUGAAAAAAAUAGGAAAUAAAGAUCGUUAUUCACAAAGGGAGCAACAGAAGGCUAUCUGGCCUAUUUGUGAUUCAGAAAAAAUUCUAUUUGUCUAUUGUGAUUCAGAAAAAAAUUCAUACAUAGCAAAUAUUCCAUCUGGAACUGUCCUGCCUUUGGGAACUUGCAUACAUGGGGAGUUUCAGAAAACUGUGUCCAAAACCCACCAGAAAAAAGAGACUCAGUUUAAAUGACUCUCUACCAAUCUCCCUUUGACCAGUUCCAAGAAGCCUCAUUCUGUAGGACAGCCCCAACAGUCCCCAGCAAAGAUUCUCCAUGUUGAAUGUAUUGUCCCUUAUACUUUGAAGCACAGUUUGGAAAGUGAACUGCUUGAGCACUGCAGUAGAGUCUAAGUUAUAAUGGAAGCACAUCUCAGUAAAGAUGACAGCCAGGUCUACCUUCCUGCAACGAGUCAGGGUUAGGAUAAACUGUCAAACAAUGUAGCAGAGCAUACAGCACCUCGAUAAGCCACAAAUGCAUAUAUAGGAUAAUGGCACAGAUGGAAGAAAAUGAUGGAAAAGAAACUAUCUUUAAUUUCCCUUAAAUUAAGUCGCCUGUACUAGGGCAAUAGUGUAUAUAUAAAGAAAUUUCAGCAUUUAUGACCACAGAGUAAGUGCAUUAAAAUGCAUUCAUGGAGGAAGGAAUAAAGAGAAUAUUUCUUUCCUAAAGAAACAAAUGACAUCAUGAAAUCAUCUUUCUUGGGGUGCCUGGGGGCUCAGUUGGUUAAGUGUCCCACUUCAAUUCAGGUCGUGACUCAUGGUUUGUGAAUUCGAGCCCCAUGUGGGGCUCUGUGCCGCCAGCUUAGGAGCCUGCUUAGGAUUCUGUGUCUCCCUCUGUCUCUCUCUGCACUCCCCCCACCCCCGCUUGU